ACGGAGGGUGCGAGCGUUAAUCGGAAUUACUGGGCGUAAAGCGCGCGUAGGCGGUUUGGUAAGUCGGAUGUGAAAGCCCCGGGCUCAACCUGGGAAUUGCAUUCGAAACUGCCGAACUAGAGUAUGGGAGAGGAAAGCGGAAUUUCCGGUGUAGCGGUGAAAUGCGUAGAUAUCGGAAGGAACAUCAGUGGCGAAGGCGGCUUUCUGGACCAAUACUGACGCUGAGGUGCGAAAGCGUGGGUAGCGAACAGG
rnacentral:rRNA from 1 species